rnacentral:rRNA from 1 species
UUUGGUUAAGUUAGAAAGGGCGCACGGUGGAUGCCUUGACACUAGGAGUCGAUGAAGGACGGGACUAACGCCGAUAUGCUUCGGGGAGCUGUAAGUAAGCUUUGAUCCGAAGAUUUCCGAAUGGGGAAACCCACCAUACGUAAUGGUAUGGUAUCCUUAUCUGAAUACAUAGGGUAAGGAAGACAGACCCAGGGAACUGAAACAUCUAAGUACCUGGAGGAAGAGAAAGCAAAUGCGAUUUCCUGAGUAGCGGCGAGCGAAACGGAACAUAGCCCAAACCAAGAGGCUUGCCUCUUGGGGUUGUAGGACAUUCUAUACGGAGUUACAAAGGAACGAGGUAGACGAAGCGACCUGGAAAGGUCCGUCGUAGAGGGUAACAACCCCGUAGUCGAAACUUCGUUCUCUCUUGAAUGUAUCCUGAGUACGGCGGAACACGUGAAAUUCCGUCGGAAUCUGGGAGGACCAUCUCCCAAGGCUAAAUACUCCCUAGUGAUCGAUAGUGAACCAGUACCGUGAGGGAAAGGUGAAAAGCACCCCGGAAGGGGAGUGAAAGAGAUCCUGAAACCGUGUGCCUACAAAUAGUCAGAGCCCGUUAACGGGUGAUGGCGUGCCUUUUGUAGAAUGAACCGGCGAGUUACGAUCCCGUGCGAGGUUAAGCUGAAGAGGCGGAGCCGCAGCGAAAGCGAGUCUGAAUAGGGCGUUUAGUACGUGGUCGUAGACCCGAAACCAGGUGAUCUACCCAUGUCCAGGGUGAAGUUCAGGUAACACUGAAUGGAGGCCCGAACCCACGCACGUUGAAAAGUGCGGGGAUGAGGUGUGGGUAGCGGAGAAAUUCCAAUCGAACCUGGAGAUAGCUGGUUCUCCCCGAAAUAGCUUUAGGGCUAGCCUUAAGUGUAAGAGUCUUGGAGGUAGAGCACUGAUUGGACUAGGGGUCCUCAUCGGAUUACCGAAUUCAGUCAAACUCCGAAUGCCAAUGACUUAUCCUUAGGAGUCAGACUGCGAGUGAUAAGAUCCGUAGUCAAAAGGGAAACAGCCCAGACCGCCAGCUAAGGUCCCAAAGUGUGUAUUAAGUGGAAAAGGAUGUGGAGUUGCUUAGACAACUAGGAUGUUGGCUUAGAAGCAGCCACCAUUUAAAGAGUGCGUAAUAGCUCACUAGUCGAGUGACUCUGCGCCGAAAAUGUACCGGGGCUAAAUACACCACCGAAGCUGCGGAUUGAUACCAAUGGUAUCAGUGGUAGGGGAGCGUUCUAAGGACAGUGAAGUCAGACCGGAAGGACUGGUGGAGUGCUUAGAAGUGAGAAUGCCGGUAUGAGUAGCGAAAGACGGGUGAGAAUCCCGUCCACCGAAUGCCUAAGGUUUCCUGAGGAAGGCUCGUCCGCUCAGGGUUAGUCAGGACCUAAGCCGAGGCCGACAGGCGUAGGCGAUGGACAACAGGUUGAUAUUCCUGUACCACCUCUUUAUCGUUUGAGCAAUGGAGGGACGCAGAAGGAUAGAAGAAGCGUGCGAUUGGUUGUGCACGUCCAAGCAGUUAGGCUGAUAAGUAGGCAAAUCCGCUUAUCGUGAAGGCUGAGCUGUGAUGGGGAAGCUCCUUAUGGAGCGAAGUCUUUGAUUCCCCGCUGCCAAGAAAAGCUUCUAGCGAGAUAAAAGGUGCCUGUACCGCAAACCGACACAGGUAGGCGAGGAGAGAAUCCUAAGGUGUGCGAGAGAACUCUGGUUAAGGAACUCGGCAAAAUGACCCCGUAACUUCGGGAGAAGGGGUGCUUUCUUAACGGAAAGCCGCAGUGAAUAGGCCCAAGCGACUGUUUAGCAAAAACACAGCUCUCUGCGAAGCCGUAAGGCGAAGUAUAGGGGGUGACACCUGCCCGGUGCUGGAAGGUUAAGGAGAGGGGUUAGCGUAAGCGAAGCUCUGAACUGAAGCCCCAGUAAACGGCGGCCGUAACUAUAACGGUCCUAAGGUAGCGAAAUUCCUUGUCGGGUAAGUUCCGACCCGCACGAAAGGUGUAACGAUUUGGGCACUGUCUCAACCAGAGACUCGGUGAAAUUAUAGUACCUGUGAAGAUGCAGGUUACCCGCGACAGGACGGAAAGACCCCGUGGAGCUUUACUGUAGCCUGAUAUUGAAUUUUGGUACAGUUUGUACAGGAUAGGCGGGAGCCUUUGAAACCGGAGCGCUAGCUUCGGUGGAGGCGCUGGUGGGAUACCGCCCUGACUGUAUUGAAAUUCUAACCUACGGGUCUUAUCGACCUGGGAGACAGUGUCAGGUGGGCAGUUUGACUGGGGCGGUCGCCUCCUAAAGUGUAACGGAGGCGCCCAAAGGUUCCCUCAGAAUGGUUGGAAAUCAUUCGUAGAGUGCAAAGGCAUAAGGGAGCUUGACUGCGAGACCUACAAGUCGAGCAGGGACGAAAGUCGGGCUUAGUGAUCCGGUGGUUCCGCAUGGAAGGGCCAUCGCUCAACGGAUAAAAGCUACCCCGGGGAUAACAGGCUUAUCUCCCCCAAGAGUCCACAUCGACGGGGAGGUUUGGCACCUCGAUGUCGGCUCAUCGCAUCCUGGGGCUGUAGUCGGUCCCAAGGGUUGGGCUGUUCGCCCAUUAAAGCGGUACGCGAGCUGGGUUCAGAACGUCGUGAGACAGUUCGGUCCCUAUCCGUCGUGGGCGUAGGAAAUUUGAGAGGAGCUGUCCUUAGUACGAGAGGACCGGGAUGGACGCACCGCUGGUGUACCAGUUGUUCUGCCAAGGGCAUAGCUGGGUAGCUAUGUGCGGAAGGGAUAAGUGCUGAAAGCAUCUAAGCAUGAAGCCCCCCUCAAGAUGAGAUUUCCCAUAGCGUAAGCUAGUAAGAUCCCUGAAAGAUGAUCAGGUUGAUAGGUUCGAGGUGGAAGCAUGGUGACAUGUGGAGCUGACGAAUACUAAUAGAUCGAGGACUUAACCAUAUAA